GCUGGUGUGGUGUAGUGGUCUGAGCAUUGGACUAGGAUUCUGGAGACCAAGGUUCGAAUCCUGGUUCGAACC
rnacentral:tRNA from 1 species